GCUAGUGUAGCUCAGCUGGUAGAGCAGUUGCCUCGUAAGCAUCAGGUCGCAGGUUCAAGUCCUGUCACUAGCA
rnacentral:tRNA from 1 species